rnacentral:rRNA from 1 species
UGCAGAGGAAAGAUCCAGAGAUGGUGAUGCCCUUCGGGGUCUCUGUGAAGGUGCUGCAUGGUUGUCGUCAGCUCGUGCCGUGAGGUGUCGGCUUAAGUGCCAUAACGAGCGCAACCCCUUUCCCUAGUUGCCAUCGGUUUUGGCCGGGCACUCUGGGGACACUGCCUCCGCAAGGAGUGAGGAAGGUGGGGAUGACGUCAAAUCAGCACGGCCCUUACGUCCGGGGCUACACACGUGUUACAAUGGGUGAUACAGAGGGCCGGCCGCUGGCAACAUCGGUCCAAUCCUUAAAGUCAUCCUCAGUUCGGACUGGGGUCUGCAACCCGACCCCACGAAGCUGGAUUCGCUAGUAAUCGCGCAUCAGCCAUGGCGCGGUGAAUACGUUCCCGGGCCUUGUACACACCGCCCGUCAAGCCAUGAAAGCCGGGGGCGCCUGAAGUCCGUGACCGCGAGGGUCGGCCUAGGGUGAAACCGGUGAUUGGGGCUAAGUCGUAACAAGGUAGCCGUACCGGAAGGUGCGGCUGGAUCA